GUGCCCAACAGAGAGAUGCUAUCGACUUCAUUCGGAUAAGUUUUCUAAUUCCUUCCUUUCUUUGUAUCUUUAGAAACUAACUUGAUUAUUUUUGCAGCUCAGCCAUCAUAUUGCCUUAUUUAUCAGUUCGAUAAAGGAAGUGAGGACAGAGGCCUUCGAAGCCCGCAAGGAGGUUAAAACCCUUCGAUCAAAGGUCGGUGAGGAUGAAAAAGCUGAGGCCAAAAUAAAAUGCCUUAAGGAGGUGCUAGAGAAGACUAAAGCCAUGCAUGCGAUGGCCGAAGCAAUGA
rnacentral:lncRNA from 1 species